UAGUUGGUAGUCACAUCUCACCAUCAGGACCCCUUGUUGGGAUAGAAAAAGAUGUAGUUUCUGAGUUUUCUGUCUGCUGCCAUAAUGUAUGUCAUUAUUCUUUCCAACCCACCGUCUCUCCCCUCAAGAUAAAAAGUUCAUGCUGAAAUGGUUUUCUUUGCAUUAUACCUUCUAGAAUGCACCUGAUAAUGGCACCCUGUA
rnacentral:lncRNA from 1 species